UGGGGAAUAUUGCACAAUGGGCGCAAGCCUGAUGCAGCAACGCCGCGUGAGGGACGACGGCCUUCGGGUUGUAAACCUCUUUUAGUAGGGAAGAAGCGAAAGUGACGGUACCUGCAGAAAAAGCACCGGCUAACUACGUGCCAGCAGCCGCGGUAAUACGUAGGGUGCGAGCGUUGUCCGGAAUUAUUGGGCGUAAAGAGCUCGUAGGCGGUCUGUCGCGUCUGCUGUGAAAACCCGAGGCUCAACCUCGGGCCUGCAGUGGGUACGGGCAGACUAGAGUGCGGUAGGGGAGAAUGGAAUUCCUGGUGUAGCGUGGAAUGCGCAGAUAUCAGGAGGAACACCGAUGGCGAAGGCAGUUCUCUGGGCCGUAACUGACGCUGAGGAGCGAAAGCGUGGGGAGCGAACAGGAUUAGAUACCCUGGUAGUCCACGCCGUAAACGUUGGGCGCUAGAUGUGGGGCACCAUUCCACGGUUUCCGUGUC
rnacentral:rRNA from 1 species